UAUGAGUGAUAGCGUGGGGGGCGUCAGUGCAGCGAGGUGUACAUCCCAAGGUAUGACAUGGAACGUCACUAGUAUGUAUGCGCAAGAGAGAGCCACAGGUCAAUACCCGUCAUUCAGCCACUAGGGGCGCCAUUUGCACAACAUGAUGGGCAACAUUUCAAGAGGAUAACGCUCAUCGGGGGAUGUUUGGGACGCAAUUACUCAAACAGCAAAACAUCCAUGCCAUGACCAGCAUUCAGCCCUGAUGUUUUACCCAUUGAACACGUCUGAGACUUCAUGGGCAGACGCGUAAAUUCAUCCACCACGCUCAAUGAACUCGACGCGGCUCUCAUUGAGGAGUGGAAUACAUGAGUCAGCAUGACACUGGUCGAUUCAUCAGAAGCAUGCCUCGAAGCAUUGUCUGGUUGAACCAAUACCAGUGACGUUAGCUGCCCACUAACAUCUCAUCACGCCAACCUUAGAACCUAAGCACCAGCAUACAUGAUUAUACAAUCCACAAAGCAAUCAUGCUUGGAAUUAAAUGAUACUUUAUUCUUCUUUGUUUCUAUAUAUGUUUUCUUCCUUAUCUUUCUUACAAUAAUAGGUGUGGUAGUAUUAGAUUGACUGAAAAUGAACAAACCUUCAGUAAAUAAACUUUUAGUUCCUUGUACACAGUAUUCAGUAAAAAUUAUCAAAUUACAUUAAACAUACCUUGAAAUUCCUUAUACUACUGUAAAUUGAUUAUCAUUAAAUAAUAUAUAGCACCUAUCAAUAGAACCAGUAAACAAGAAAGCACAUGUUUACACAUUUUGACCAACUGAACAGCAAAAGAAAAUAAUUAUCAAAUUUAUCGUAUGGAAAAUAAAUGGUACCUAAAACAAUAGGAUAAGUCUUAAGGC